rnacentral:tRNA from 1 species
GAUCAAGUAGUUUAGUGGCUAGAGCUCACACAAUUUAAUUGUGGAUUGUCCGGGGUUCGAACCCCCGCCUCCUAU